AUUUGAUAAAAUGGAACGAGGUUCACAAUGGAAAACCUUUUGGUGUUGAUGAUGUAGUGGAUUUAUUCAGAGGUUUUCUAAACUUUGUUUCACUAAUGACAUCAUGACAUCAGAGAGUUCAGAUGAUUUUCUGAUCUACUAUAAGGAUACCAUUGGAUAUUGAUGACCAAGCGCUUCAAGGUUGUGCAGAUUGAUGACAAGGGGCUUGUGGCUGCCGCCCAGCACACGACCACGCUUUCUUACUGACCCUGACCUCAGGGGCAACAAGUUCUGGCCAAGGUGUUCUAGGCAAGCUGUUGGUUAAUAUUGUCCAGUUCGACCUGUUACCUUGUCCGAGUCCUUUAUUUUAAACCCUCCACUGUUUGAGCUUGAAAUGCAAGUCAAAGUCUGAACGUAUGCUUGUUA